AUUGAACGCUGGCGGCAUGCCUUACACAUGCAAGUCGAACGGCGGCACGGGUGCUUGCACCUGGUGGCGAGUGGCGAACGGGUGAGUAAUACAUCGGAACGUACCUUAUCGUGGGGGAUAACGCAGCGAAAGCUGUGCUAAUACCGCAUACGCCCUGAGGGGAAAGCGGGAGAUCGCAAGACCUCGCGCGAUUAGAGCGGCCGAUGCCUGAUUAGCUAGUUGGUGGGGUAAAAGCCCACCAAGGCGACGAUCAGUAGCUGGUCUGAGAGGACGAUCAGCCACACUGGGACUGAGACACGGCCCAGACUCCUACGGGAGGCAGCAGUGGGGAAUCUUGGACAAUGGGGGCAACCCUGAUCCAGCAAUGCCGCGUGAGUGGAGAAGGCCUUCGGGUUGUAAAGCUCUUUUGUCAGGGAAGAAACACCGGCUCUAACACAGUCCGGGAAUGACGGUACCUGAAGAAUAAGCACCGGCUAACUACGUGCCAGCCGCCGCAGUAA
rnacentral:rRNA from 1 species